rnacentral:rRNA from 2 species
UACAGAGGGUGCAAGCGUUAAUCGGAAUUACUGGGCGUAAAGGGCGCGUAGGUGGUUAAUUAAGUUAGAUGUGAAAUCCCUGGGCUUAACCUAGGAAUUGCAUUUAAAACUGGUUGACUAGAGUGUGGUAGAGGGAAGUGGAAUUUCCAGUGUAGCGGUGAAAUGCGUAGAUAUUGGAAGGAACACCAGUGGCGAAGGCGACUUCCUGGACCACUACUGACACUGAGGCGCGACAGCGUGGGGAGCGAACAGG